UUAUUUCUAGUGAAUUGUUUGAAAAUGGAUUAAUAGAUAAACCAGUAUUUGAAAUUGUGCUUUGUUCUUUUGUUUAUUUAUGUUUUUUUUGUUGUACUUAAUUCUAAACAUCACACGAUUACGGGUUGUAGUAUUUUUUUUUUUUUGAAUUAUACAGAGGUAUCUUGGCCCCACAUAAGUGAUCCAGACUAGUCACGUGUUGCCACGUGUCGGUCCUAAGGUGAUUACUGUUACAACGGUUGAGUUUAAUUAUCAUGAUUUUGUUGUAGUAUUACUGUUACAACGGUUGAGUUUAAUUAUCAUGAUUUUGUUUUUGGAAACUAGGUGUGUUGUCU
rnacentral:lncRNA from 1 species